ACGGAAUAGAUACCCAGGUAGUCCACGCCCUAAACGAUGUCUACUAGUUGUCGGGUCUUAAUUGACUUGGUAAACGCAGCUAAACGCGUGAAGUAGACCGCCUGGGGAGUACGGUCGCAAGAUUAAAACUCAAAGGAAUUGACGGGGACCCGCACAAGCGGUGGAUGAUGUGGAUUAAUUCGAUGCAACGCGAAAAACCUUACCUACCCUUGACAUGGAUGGAAUCCCUGAGAGAUUGGGGUAGGUGCUCGAAAGAGAACCAUUACACAGGUGCUGCAUGGCUGUCGUCAGCUCGUGUCGUGAGAUGUUGGGUUAAGUCCCGCAACGAGCGCAACCCUUGUCAUUAGUUGCUACGAAAGGGCACUCUAAUGAGACUGCCGGUGACAAACCGGAGGAAGGUGGGGAUGACGUCAAGUCCUCAUGGCCCUUAUGGGGUUAGGGCUUCACACGGUCAUACAACGGUACAUACAGAGGGCCGCCAACCCGGCGAGGGGGUAGCUAAUCCCAGAAAGUGUAUCGUAGUCC
rnacentral:rRNA from 1 species